ensembl:lncRNA
AGCAGCAGCAGCAGCAGCAGCAACAACAACAAAAACAGCAACAACAACAACAGCACUAGCGCUAGCACCAGCACCAGCAGGGUGUUAGUAGGAAUGAUGCAGAUAGGUGAUGAAUAUAGAAGCUGAUAUUUUUGUGUCUGCAAAUAAAAUGAAGGGAAGGAGACACUUUGACAUUGUGCCAUCUGCCUGACAUCCAAGUGCUCAGGAUUCAGUGGAAGGAUUGUUACAUGUUUGAGGCCAGUCUGGGAUUCUAUAAGCAAAUCAUCUUAAAUGACUUUAUUCCCCAUCCUGGCCCACCUGACAGUUCCACAUUCCAUACCUCUUCCCUGCACACCCUGUGUCUCCACAAGGAUAUCCCCACCCCACCAGACCUCUAAACUUCCUGGGGCCUCCAGUCCCUUGACAGGUGCAUCUUCUCUGACUGAACCCGGACCAGAACCUCUAAACCUCUGCUAGUGUAUGCUGCCCGGUUGGUGAUCCAGUGUCUCAGAAAUCUCAGGGGUCCAAGUUAAUUGGGAGUGCUAGUCGGCCUACAUGGUUGCCCUCUUUCUCAGCUUCCUUCAGCUUUUCCAAAAUUCAACCAGAGU